AACGACUCUCGACAACGGAUAUCUCGGCUCUCGCAUCGAUGAAGAACGUAGCGAAAUGCGAUACUUGGUGUGAAUUGCAGAAUCCCGUGAACCAUCGAGUCUUUGAACGCAAGUUGCGCCCGAAGCCUCYAGGCCGAGGGCACGUCUGCCUGGGUGUCACAC
rnacentral:rRNA from 1 species